rfam:Stegodyphus mimosarum contig39182, whole genome shotgun sequence.
GCCUUCGUGGUGUAGUGGUCAGCACACUCGGCGCGUAUUCGAGAGGUCCGCGGUUCGAGUCCCGGCAAUGGCA